rnacentral:rRNA from 1 species
GAUGAACGCUGGCGGCGUGCCUAAUACAUGCCAGUCGAGCGAACGGACGAGAAGCUUGCUUCUCUGAUAUUAGAGGCGGAAGGGUGAGUAACACGUGUAUAACCUACCUAUAAGACUGGGAUAACUUCGGGAAACCGGAUCUAAUACCGGAUAAUAUUUUGAACCGCAUGGUUCAAAAGUUAAAGACGGUCUUGCUGUAACACAUAGAUGGGUCCGCGCUGCAUUAGCUAGUUGGUAAGGUAACGGCCUACCAAGGCAACGAUGCAUAGCCGACCUGAGAGGGUGAUCGGCCACACUGGAACUGAGACACGGCCCAGACUCCUACGGGAGGCAGCAGUAGGGAAUCUUCCGCAAUGGGCGAAAGCCUGACGGAGCAACGCCGCGUGAGUGAUGAAGGAUUUCGGUUCGUAAAGCUCUGUUAUUAGGGAAGAAUAUUUGUGUAAGUACUAGAGCACAUAGUGACGGUACCUAACCAGAAAGCCACGGCUAACUACGUG